rnacentral:rRNA from 1 species
GAUGAACGCUAGCUACAGGCUUAACACAUGCAAGUCGCGGGGCAGCAUGGGGGUUGCUUGCAAUCCCCGAUGGCGACCGGCGCACGGGUGAGUAACGCGUAUCCAACCUGCCCUUCACCACGGGAUAGCCCGGCGAAAGUCGGACUAAUACCGUAUGUUGUCCAUUGACGGCAUCCGAUUUGGACGAAAGGUUUGGCGGUGAAGGAUGGGGAUGCGUCCGAUUAGCUGGACGGCGGGGUGACGGCCCACCGGGGCGACGAUCGGUAGGGGUUCUGAGAGGAAGGUCCCCCACACUGGAACUGAGACACGGUCCAGACUCCUACGGGAGGCAGCAGUGAGGAAUAUUGGUCAAUGGGCGUAAGCCUGAACCAGCCAAGUAGCGUGCAGGAUGACGGCCCUAUGGGUUGUAAACUGCUUUUAUGCGGGGAUAAAGUGGCCCACGUGUGGGUUUUUGCAGGUACCGCAUGAAUAAGGACCGGCUAAUUCCGUG